GCGGCUGGACGUGACAGAGGAUGGACGUAUUUUUACGAUGCUCUGAACUGGCAACAACGAACCCAGCAGGGCAACUGAAAAAAAAAAACAACUGUAGAAAACUGGAAGAUCUACUGUUUUCUUUCAAAUAGGUAUUU